UACAGAGGUCUCAAGCGUUGUUCGGAUUCAUUGGGCGUAAAGGGUGUGUAGGUGGCGCCGUAAGUCGGGUGUGAAAUCUCGGGGCUUAACUCCGAAACUGCAUUCGAUACUGCGGUGCUUGAGGACUGGAGAGGAGACUGGAAUUCAUGGUGUAGCAGUGAAAUGCGUAGAGAUCAUGAGGAAGACCAGUGGCGAAGGCGGGUCUCUGGACAACACCUGACACUGAGGCACGAAAGCUAGGGGAGCAAACAGG
rnacentral:rRNA from 1 species